ACAAAUGCCUAAAUUGUCUGCUCAAGAGAAGGGACGCACAAGCAGACUGUGUCAGAUUAUCACCGGAAACGUCAGAAGACAUAAAAAAGGAUCGACUGCAAGGCAAAGAUUUGAGUCAAAAAGAGGAAGGAUGGCAAAUUUGUGAUAGAAAUGGUUGAACUCAACCACAAUCACAAGAUGCUGGAAAGCCCCAGGACGCUUUUGCACAUGCGAUCGCACAAAAAAGACGAUCCUUUGAUGGACCAGUUAGUGAAAGACAUGCAACUGGACAACCACACACACGCUUAGAUGAUGUCAACACUACCGCGUAUGUCCGGUGGUCUGAAGUACAUGGGACAUACUAGCCGCGACGGGGUAAACAAGAAACAAAAGUUUGCCAGAGAAGAGUCCCAAGAUGACGUCAAUAAACUUCUGGAUUUCUUCGAGAAUAUGCAGAAGAUAAACCCAGAGUUCUUAUAUGAUUAUGACGUUGAUGCAGAUAACCGUGUAAGAAACGUCUUUUGGGCCAACGCAAGUUGCAAAGGAUCGUAUGAUGAUUUUGGAGGCUGCGUUACAUUUGACACGAUAUAUCAAACUAACAAAUUCCACAUGCCAUUGGGAGUCUUCGUGGGAGUGAACCAUCAUCUACAGAGCACCAUAUUUGUUGUUGCACUCGUGCGAUAUGAAACAAUACCGUCGUUCAAGUGGGACCAGUGUUCUUCGAUGAAGGCAGCAUUAAAAACUAUCCUCCCACAUACUCUGCAUAAGUUGUGUCGGUGGCAUAUCAUGAAGAAGCACAAAGACCACCUCGCCUUGAUGUAUAAGGCGCACGAGAAACUUAAGGAUGACCUCAAUGCGGUGCUGAACCACCCACUAAUGCCGUCAGAAUUUGAACGAGCACGGAAGGACCUCAUUCAGAGAUACAACUUGCAAGACGAUGAAGUGAUGAAUUCGUUGUGGGAAGACAGGCACGAGUGGAUCUUGGCUUACUACAAGGAAAUUUUUUGUGCUCGGAUGACUUCCACACAAAGAAGCGAGAGCAUGAACCGCAUACUGAAGAAAAAUUUUGUCAAAGAGAAGCAUGAUCUCCAUCUGUUUGCUCAGCAGGUGGACAAGUGCAUUCAGGCCAGGAAGGCCGUCGAGAAUGCAGAGACAGUAGCAAAUGAGUCAGAGGUAAAGACAACAACCCAGUUUGGGUUCGAAGUUCAACUAUCAAAAGUGUAUACAAGGGCAGUGUUUACAGAUUUCAAAGAAACACUCUACCGUAGCACUGCAUCCAGAGCAGAACGGUGCCCUGAGAACCCGACAAAGUAUCUCGUACACCACUACAAUAGAUCGGAUGCAUUUGACUGGGCAAGGCAUAAUUUCCAAGUGGUCGCCGAUGAACAGAAAGGUGUCUACGAAUGUGAAUGCAAACUCUGGACACAAACAGGUGAAACUCCUAUCACAAAAAAUUCUAGUUUCUGA
rnacentral:rRNA from 1 species